rnacentral:tRNA from 1 species
GCGGAUGUGGUGUAGCUGGUAACACGUCAGCUUCCCAAGCUGAAGACCGCGGGUUCGAGUCCCGUCAUCCGCUCCA